GAAGGGGUGACCAUGUUGACCUGCUAACUCAACACCCCAGAACUAAGCUCGCUGGCC
rnacentral:tRNA from 1 species